GGUGGAUUAGGGCUGAAAUAGGAGUGUGCGAUAUUGACACAAAAUAAUAUCUCGAUAUUUUCUGGGAUUUUAUCAAUAACGAUAAUUAGACGAUAUUUUGCUGAGUGUUUAU